CCUACGGGAGGCAGCAGUGAGGAAUAUUGGUCAAUGGCCGAGAGGCUGAACCAGCCAAGUCGCGUGAGGGAUGACGGCCCUACGGGUUGUAAACCUCUUUUGGCGGGGAGCAAAGAGAGUCACGUGUGGCUCAUUGAGAGUACCCGAAGAAAAAGCAUCGGCUAACUCCGUGCCAGCAGCCGCGGUAAUACGGAGGAUGCGAGCGUUAUCCGGAUUUAUUGGGUUUAAAGGGUGCGCAGGCGGAGGUGCAAGUUAGUGGGCAAAUUGCGGGGCUCAACCCCGUACUGCCGUUGAAACUGCAUCCCUUGAGUGCGCGAGAAGUAUGCGGAAUGCGUGGUGUAGCGGUGAAAUGCAUAGAUAUCACGCAGAACUCCGAUUGCGAAGGCAGCAUACCGGCGCGCAACUGACGCUCAUGCACGAAAGCGUGGGUAUCGAACAGGAUUAGAUACCCGUGUAGUC
rnacentral:rRNA from 1 species